rnacentral:rRNA from 1 species
CCUACGGGAGGCAGCAGUGGGGAAUUUUGGACAAUGGACGCAAGUCUGAUCCAGCCAUUCCGCGUGCAGGACGAAGGCCUUCGGGUUGUAAACUGCUUUUGUACGGAACGAAAAGGUCUCUAUUAAUACUAGGGGCUCAUGACGGUACCGUAAGAAUAAGCACCGGCUAACUACGUGCCAGCAGCCGCGGUAAUACGUAGGGUGCAAGCGUUAAUCGGAAUUACUGGGCGUAAAGCGUGCGCAGGCGGUUAUAUAAGACAGAUGUGAAAUCCCCGGGCUCAACCUGGGAACUGCAUUUGUGACUGUAUAGCUGGAGUGCGGCAGAGGGGGAUGGAAUUCCGCGUGUAGCAGUGAAAUGCGUAGAUAUGCGGAGGAACACCGAUGGCGAAGGCAAUCCCCUGGGCCUGCACUGACGCUCAUGCACGAAAGCGUGGGGAGCAAACAGGAUUAGAUACCCUGGUAGUCCACGCCCUAAACGAUGUCAACUGGUUNUUGGGUCUUCACUGACUCAGUAACCGAAGCUAACGCGUGAAGUUGACCGCCUGGGGAGUACGGCCGCAAGGUUGAAACGUCAAAGGAUUGACCGGNNGNGAGNGCGAGGNGCAGAGGAGAG